UACAAAGGGGGCAAGCGUUAUUCGGAAUUAUUGGGCGUAAAGGGCGCGUAGGCGGCUUUGCAAGUGACGGGUGAAAGCCCUCGGCUUAACCGAGGAACUGCCUGUCAGACUGUAAGGCUUGAGUCCGGGAGAGGUGAGUGGAAUUCCCAGUGUAGCGGUGAAAUGCGUAGAUAUUGGGAGGAACACCAGUGGCGAAGGCGGCUCACUGGACCGGAACUGACGCUGAGGCGCGAAAGCGUGGGGAGCAAACAGG
rnacentral:rRNA from 1 species